rnacentral:tRNA from 1 species
GAGUUAAGUCUAAACAAAAUAAAGCUUCUAACUUUAAUUUUAAGCAGUGAGAUACUGUUUUUAACUCU